rnacentral:rRNA from 1 species
CCUACGGGAGGCAGCAGUGAGGAAUAUUGGUCAAUGGCCGGAAGGCUGAACCAGCCAUGCCGCGUGAAGGUCAGUGCCCUAUGGGCGUUAAACUUCUUUUGUGCGGGAGCAAUAAUGGUCACGUGUGGCCAGACGAGAGUACCGUACGAAUAAGCAUCGGCUAACUCCGUGCCAGCAGCCGCGGUAAUACGGGGGAUGCAAGCGUUAUCCGGAUUUAUUGGGUUUAAAGGGUGCGUAGGCUGUGAGGUAAGUCAGCGGUGAAAUGCCCCCGCUCAACGGGGUGAAGUGCCAUUGAUACUGCCUGGCUGGAAUGAGGAUGCGGUGGGAGGAAUGUGUGGUGUAGCGGUGAAAUGCAUAGAUAUCACACAGAACACCGAUUGCGAAGGCAUCUCACGAAUCCGCGAUUGACGCUGAUGCACGAAAGCGUGGGUAUCAAACAGGAUUAGAUACCCUAGUAGUC